CUUCUUCUACACCACAACUUCUUCCUCAUUUCUUCUACUAGCAAACAAACACACAAGAAAAUGGUGAGUUGAGAGAAAUUAAAAGCUUCGGUGGUGAAGACAUUAGGGAAAACAUAACGUGUGAGUGUGCGAGUGAGAUUGGGAGUCCAAAACUUGGUUUCUGUUUAAGAUUGUGCAGAAGACUUCAACCGAAGCCAUUUUUCUACAAUAUUUCUAGAAGUUGCAGACCGAGCAGGUAUGCCACUGUCCCUCUUUUUUCUCUUCCAUUUAGUUAAUCUAGUGAGCCUUAUGUAACCUAGAAUCAUAAUAGGAUAUUAGGGAUUUGUUAGAAAUCAAUUAGACAAAGCUAAACACUCUAGGAAACUGGAAAUUAAUCUCACUAUCUACAACAGUUGCGCGUAUUGCGGAACUGUUCUUCAACCUUUCAAUCCAACCUUUUCUUGUGAUUCUUUGGCAUGUUGCUGCUAUUUCUUUAAGGUAAAAUGGGUAGUAGUUUAGUUCAUACAAAGAUGGCAUUUCUAGAUUGCAUUUCAUGGGAUGUGUUCUUUAAAAAUGCAUAGAGGAAGUGGAUUUUCAAAUGGAAAAAGGGUUAGUGCGUUCAUCUUGUGCUUGAUAAUUAUCUAAUCUAUUUUAAUUGUAUUUAAUAAGUUUUUGUUAUAUUUGAACGUGAUUGAUGACGGUGAACGUCUUAAAACCAGAAUAGAGAAGAAGAGGGACGCAUAACAGAGGCCAUUAGCCUCUGCUAAGCGUUCGGGCAUCAAAAUGCCCUUGAAAUCAUGCUUCAUAGUUUCUUUUGUGCUAACACAUGAAAGAGAGGGAUUUUAGGUGCAAAUGAAUAACCUGGAAUCGCCUCUAGUAGUUUGCUAACGCGCAGAUACCGAUCCAAA